UUGAAAGUUAUUGUAAUCGGGUGGCUAUGAAAAUUUAUAUAACUGAUUAUGUAGAAAUGAUUAGAAGCGUUAGGGUCGAAACGAUCUUAAAUUAUUCUCAAACUGUAAAUGGGUAAGAAUCUGACCUUUUUUAUGAAGGUAUGAAGGUUGUAGUUGGGAUCUAAUGUGCCCAAUGGGCCAAUUUUGGUAAGCAGAACUGGUGCUGUGGGAUGAACCAAACAUAAUGUUACGGUGUCAAAAUUAACAACUCAUGCAAAUACCAUGAAAGGCGUUGGUUGCUUCAAACAGCAGGACGGUGGAAAUGGAAGCCGGUAAGGAGUGUGUAAAUUUAAAACUUUAGUGAGUAGGAGGGUACAAUGGUGAGCGUAGAAGUGUUUGGCGUAAGCCUGUAUGGAACCGCCAUCAGUG
rnacentral:ncRNA from 1 species